rnacentral:rRNA from 1 species
GAUGAACGCUGGCGGCGUGCUUAACACAUGCAAGUCGAACGAAGCACCUCUCCCGAAGAUUGACACAGCUUGCUGUAGAUUGAUUCAUUUGAGGUGACUGAGUGACGGACGGGUGAGUAACGCGUGGGUAACCUGCCUCAUAGAGAGGGACAACAGUUGGAAACGACUGCUAAUACCGCAUAGUAAGAAGAAUUCGCAUGUUUUCUUCUUGAAAGAUUUAUCGCUAUGAGAUGGACCCGCGUCUGAUUAGCUAGUUGGUAAGGUAACGGCUUACCAAGGCGACGAUCAGUAGCCGGCUUGAGAGAGUGAACGGCCACAUUGGGACUGAGACACGGCCCAAACUCCUACGGGAGGCAGCAGUGGGGAAUAUUGCACAAUGGGGGAAACCCUGAUGCAGCGACGCCGCGUGAGUGAAGAAGUAUUUCGGUAUGUAAAGCUCUAUCAGCAGGGAAGAUAAUGACGGUACCUGACGAAGAAGCCCCGGCUAACUACGUG